rnacentral:tRNA from 1 species
GCACGCCGUGGGCCAGCGGGUUGAGGUCCGGGGCCUCCUCGCGGUCCGCGAUGGCCUGCACCGCCUGUUCGAACAGGGCGAUCUGCCC